rnacentral:lncRNA from 1 species
UGAAUUAAAAGGAGGGGAAAAAAUCAAUGCUUACUGAAGACAAUUGUUCAAGAAGUUGUCUUAUAAAUAAACAGAAAGACUUGUCUUCAGGUAACAUGAAAGGAAAAUAUAUGGAAGGAAUAGACUGGAUCCUUUGUAUAUUUAUUUAUUAACAUGUGUCCGAAAAGGCUAUCAGAAAAAAAUUUUGGAAAGAUAUUCUGUGUAGGCAUUUAUUUUUGUUCAAAAUGGUCAAGUUGACUUUCAAUUUUGCAUAGAGAGUAUCUGUUUCAAAGCACAAGUCUGUACAAAGAAACCUCACUAUUUUGCCAUACAAUAUUUCAUUGAAAAUAGUUUAAAAAAUUAGCCAACAGGAAUAAACAAAUUGAAAAGGGGGUAAACAGAAGCUAUACAUAUUUGUAACAGUCGAAUUUUGCCAAUUUAAGGGAAUUAAGAAAUAUCAAUGAAUGUUGAAUGAAUGUAAUUUUUAC